AAUAAACCAAUUUUUUACUUUUUACCUUUAAUUUUUGACUUUUCGUUUUAUUCAAAAAAAUUUUGUGAUUGAUAUUUUUAUUUUUAUUAGAUAAUAAAUCAUGAAUAGUAUUUUACGUAUAACUAAUUUUUUUUUAAUUUUCUGAAAUUUUUCAAAUAAGACGAAUAAUCAAACAUUGGACAUGAAAACC
rnacentral:pre_miRNA from 1 species